CCGACCUUAGCUCAGUUGGAAGAGCGCGAGACUGUAAUGGAUAAAAUCAUCUUGAGGUCGCCUGUUCGAGCCAGGCAGGUCGGA
rnacentral:tRNA from 1 species